UACAGAGGGUGCGAGCGUUGUUCGGAAUUAUUGGGCGUAAAGCGCUGGUAGGUGGCUUGUUAAGUCGCGUGUGAAAGCUCCAGGCUCAACCUGGAAAGUGCGCGCGAAACUGGCGAGCUUGAGUGCCGGAGAGGGUCGCGGAGUUCCCAGUGUAGAGGUGAAAUCCGUAGAUAUUGGGAGGAACACCAGAGGCGAAGGCGGCGGCCUGGAAGGUAACUGACACUGAGCAGCGAAAGCGUGGGGAGCAAACAGG
rnacentral:rRNA from 1 species